UUUUGUUGGAGCCGGAAUGGACUUCUUCCCUUAUUCCGGGUGGCGAGGAAAAAAUGAGAAGAUGGGAAAGCACUUGCUCUUGGCCCCAUGCCUGGCCUUCAUUUCAGAUACUUUACCGACCGUCGUCCUAUACACACUUCUCUCUCCAUCUCCUGAUUGUAAUUUUUGUUAAAGCACAAUGAAACAUUCUCAUUAUUAUGACUCUGUAAAUAUUACUUAUAGCUGAGCCAUAUGUUGUACUAUAAGUAC